AAACAGACACCAAGAGGAGACAUCAUGAUCAGGAAAGUGAUUUUUCUCCACAGGGUACUGGCACAUCUCUUUCACUCCAGGCGUGCUGAAACUUGUGAUUUCCCCAAAUGCUAGAAACUCCAUUGCAUCAUUUGUGGUAGUGGGGCACUUA
rnacentral:snRNA from 9 species